AGAUUAUGCACGCCCAAAUAUGCUCUUCAUUCUCGUUCAGUACAAUACCUCUUUGAAAUAGCGCACCCUAGACGAAAUCGGCAAUGUAACAAUCUUACUGAAAAUGUGAAAAUUUCAAUUGUAAAACGGACAACAUUUAUGCCUUUUCCCCGUCAAGCUGCUAACAUCCCUUUCGAACACUGCGGAUAGAGCUAAGCGCAACGUGUGAGUUGCAAGACUCAGCGGGCUUAACGGCCAGGUUACGAUUUUGCAAGCGUUGUGAUUAUUACUUAUAAAAUCUCAGCUACGUGCCUAAAUCGACGAGACUCAAAAUUAUGAACGAAUCAACGCGGUUACUGCACGUCAAGUUAGCAACACGCUUAAAAAUCAGUUGGGUCAAGCAGCGUUCAUCUGAACUAAAAUGGCGCAAGUCUUGGUAGUACAAUGACGGCAGUGGAGCCCUACGUCCCAUCACAUGUCGAUACGGCCUGAGCCGGGGAUCCGGGUCCGACCAGAGCUCGCCAGGGUCCACGUCGUCC
rnacentral:misc_RNA from 1 species